GCAGAUAAGCAAAAGCAUAGCGGACAAGCGUCCGAGGAAAGUCCGGACUGCAUGGGACAACAUAGUGGCUAACGGCCACGCGGGGCGACCCGACGAUCAGAGCAACAGAGACGAGCUGAUUCAAUUCAGGUGAAACGGGCAAUCUCUAUGUGCAGCAACUUCAAAUAGGUUCUCUAUAUUCGGUCCCAGAUUGAGAACGGGUAGAAGGCUUGACACUUGUGGCAACACAAUGUGCAGAUUGAUUAUGCUUGCCACGGAAACGUGGAACAGAAUCCGGCUUAUCGCUUAUCUGCCUUG
rnacentral:RNase_P_RNA from 1 species